rnacentral:tmRNA from 1 species
GGGGGCGAAAGGUUUUCGACCGGGCAGGUUGAGGUUCGAGCGGCGUGUCGAGGUCGCCGGGUGGCCUCGUUAAACCCCUGGCAAACUGUUAGAUGCCAACAACGGCAUGCGUUUGGCUGCCUAACUAAGGCAACCCGUCGGCCGGCAACGCCUGCUAGCCGUUACCGACGAUGACAGCAGGCUGGCCCGCGAGUUCCCGUCUGGCGGCGCGCGGGCAAGAAAUUAGCCGGGCUGGGCAAGCGGAUGACCCGUCGGCCGGUCUGCCGUAAGCCGAGAUUAAAUCGGCCGGACACACACGUAGAUGCUCGUUCUGAAAUGCUUCGGGACGGGGGUUCGACUCCCCCCGCCUCCAA